GACGAACGCUGGCGGCGUGGAUUAGGCAUGCAAGUCGAACGGUAUCAUCCUUUCGGGGGUGAGAGAGUGGCGAACUGGUGAGUAACACGUAGGUUAUCUACCCUCAAGACGGGGACAACCCAGGGAAACUUGGGCUAAUACCGGAUGUGAGCAACUUUUAGUUGUUUGAAAGGUGGCGUAAGCUGUCGCUUGGGGAUGAGCCUGCGUCCUAUUAGUUAGUUGGUGAGGUAACGGCUCACCUAGGCAAUGAUAGGUAGGCGGCCUUAACGGGUGGUCGCCCACACUGGGAUUGAGAUACGGCCCAGACUCCUACGGGAGCAGCAGUCGAGAAUAGUCUACAAUGGUCGGAAGACUGAUAGUGCGACGCCGCGUGAACGAUGAAUCCCUUCGGGGUGUAAAGUUCUUUUAUAUGUGAGCAGUGCUUCUUAUAUUAACAGUAUGGGGAGAGAGAUAUUAGCAUAUGAAUAAGCAACGGCUAACUCCGUGCCAGCAGCCGCGGUAAUA
rnacentral:rRNA from 1 species